UAAUGUUACAGAAACUGUUUUUCUGAAGUAUUGACUAAUUUUGCCUUUCUCCAUGUCUUACAAACUGCAUUGAGGCUGGCUUGAUAGAGGGGGCUGUCCUUGAAGAGCAGUGAACUGUGCAGAUGUGCUCUUUAGGGAUGUAUGUUUGAAGCCCAGCACUUUUAUGCAUGAAAGAGGUCAGAGUUGGGUGAAGGACUUCAGGCUCCGCCUUCUACUGUAUGAUCUUGAUGUUACAGCUCAUUAUCUAAUCUUGCAAUGAUAUGCUAACUUUUUGUUCAUCUCAGAGAAGCUACAAUCUGUCAUAACAUUUGAAGUGAAUGGUUGGCUGUCUCUCUUCUCUCUGAGAGGUCUGUUCUUUGCUAAACUCAAAUUUGAGUUAUUGGAGCAUGGUGAUCAGUUGAAAGACCAUGAAGUGACGUAAGACAUCAGGAGGAACCUAUGGAUAUAUUACUUGACAUGGCAAAGGAACUUCAUUGAAUUGAUUAACUUAAGGAUCUUGGAUAGUCUUGGUUAUCAGUUGGCCCCAUUUGAUCACAAGGAUCCUCACAAGAGAGGUGGCGUCUGAGAGAGACUGAGGGUACUACAUUGAUGGCUGUAAAGGUGGAGGAGGGGCCGUGAGCCAAGGAAUGCAGGCAGCCUCUAAAGCCGGAAAAGGCAAGGAAACGGAUUCUCCCCUGGAGCCUCCAGAAGGAAUGCUGCCUUGCUGACAUCUUCCCUUUAGCCCAAUUAUAGUGAUUUUGGGUUUCUGACCUCUAGAACUGUAAAAUAGUAAAUCCAUGUAGUUUUAAGCCACUGAAUUGUGGUAAUUUGUUGUAGGAAACUAAUACAAACCCUAAUCCUCAAGAAUUAUGAAAGAGCUGCACCUGUACAGUCAGGGUAAUGGUGGAGUGUAGACUACUUCGUGGGUCCAAGCCACUAAAUGUAACGGAGAAAUGCAUGAAGUUUUUGCAUCUGUUUAGCAAAAUUCUGCCAAAUUGGAGCCAUGUUGGGAAUCUUUGAGGAUUGCCUCCAGGACCCUUACUACAGCCACCAAAAUAACUAAUUUUUCCCCUGAUGAAAUCAGUGAGAUGUGACUUUUAUUUGUAAGCAAGGUGUGUGAGACCUCUGUAUUCCUCCCAGGGUUGGGAUUGUUCACACCUGAAGAAAGAACGUGUAGCCACAAGCCACUCUAGUAGAAAUGUUGCUUGCUUUUAAGCUUUGCUCUAAUUUUUAUUGAAAGAUAUCUAUUGGUAAUAAAUGUUGUAAAAGAAAGUUGUGAUUUAAUGUCACCAUAGGCCCCCAAUGCCUUCAUACAAUGAAACAGUAGGGUCCCCCCUUCAACUUGGAAUGGCCUCCCCCAUGUUGUUUCAUAGUCUCAGCACAGCCCUUCUGAUAUUUCUCUGCCUCUCUUAGGCAAAUGAAUCCAACCAACUCUGGGCCUGGACCACAUGAACAAUUGAGGACACACUGGUGCAGGCAGAGGGCAGAGGCAGCGUAAACACCUGGAUUAUCCUUGACACUACACCUCAUAGGGAAUACAGGAAGUGUGAAACUACUGCACUUCUCUUGUGUAUUUUCCAUCUCACCUGGGAGCAGAGGAAUUAAGUUCAGUGUAGUCCUGAGAAGGAAGACAUAUGACAUCUGGGCAGGUCCCAGAACAGCAGCUGAAGGGGUCACUGGCAACUUAGUGUGGGAUUCAAACCUUAUGGGCUGGGAGAAGGAGAAGGAUAAUGAAGUGUCCUGGCUCGAGUCUCUUCCCAAGGAAAUGAACUCAAGAAUGGAGAGAAGUUUGAAUCUUCUUGAUUUUAGGGCUUUGGCCAAAGAGAUGUGUACAGGAGAGCAUGGACUGGCAAGAUGUGAAGUUAGACACUUCCUAACCUUAUCUUCCUGUUAGCUGCUUCAUGGCUGCUCCAUCCAUCCAUCCAUCCAUCCAACAGAGUGUCUGCUUUCCUUACCUUUCACCCCUGAAAUAUUUAUAUUAUUAUCUUAAAUUUGUAUGAUCAAUUAUAAAUAGUCUAGUGCUUUCAGAUUCA